UUUUAUCAUUUUGGGUCAGAUUUCUUUUGAGGUGUUAAACCCUGAAAAUUGGUUUUCUUGGUAGCUCGGAAUCGGAUCAAAAAUGACGAGAGCGGCUCUCUUUCAGUGGCUGCGAUCACAGUCCAGACACCUCGCAUCCUCAAGGUUCCGCUCAGGUUAUCAGCCGUGCAGGUCUGCAGCAUGGGCUGCUAGUCUGAACACUAAACUGGGUUUCAACUCUGGCUUCGAGAUCAAUUCUUCGCAGAAAAGAUGGGCUUCUCAUGCCACAACAAGAGAAGAUGAUGGCAAAAUCAGCAUUGGACCUCGCAGGGGUGGCGAAAUUGGGGAAGAUGAAAAGGACUCUGGGGUUGUUUACUAUGGCCCAAUCUCAUCUACUAUCAAGAAAGUGAAACUUCUCUCGCUGUCGACCUGCUGCCUUUCUGUAUCUCUAGGUCCUGUGAUAACCUUUAUGACAUCUCCAGGUAUGAAUGUGAUCUUGAAGGGUGCAGUGGCAUCUUCAGUGAUAUUCUUGAGUGCUUCUACCACAGCCGCUCUUCACUGGUUCGUGACACCAUACAUUCACAAGCUCAAGUGGAAGCCUGGUUCAGACAGUUUUGAGGUGGAAAUGAUGUCAUGGCUUGCAACACUACAUUCCGAGGACGAUUAAGUUUUCUGAUAUCCGGCCAGCAGAAACCAAUAGGCCUUUUGUGACUUUUAAGGCCAAUGGAAACUUUUACUUCGUGGACGCAGAUCAUUGUCAUAACAAGGCUUUGCUAGCAAGACUGACCCCGCAGAAAGAAACUCGUGAGUCGGGUUUUAAGAACUUAUGAUCAUGUGAUGCCUAGUGUCGGAAGUUUUGCUCUUUGUGGCUGAAUUAUGUUAUAGAAAUCGUGUAUUGCAAUGAGAUUUUGUGGCACGUACCGCUUUUUUUUUUUUAGACACCGACACUGGUUUCGGGUACUUUGGAUUAGAGAAAUAAUUGAUAUUUGCUUAAUAUGAUUAGUGUGCUCUGCACUGCACACCCCAUCCCCAUA